rnacentral:rRNA from 1 species
CUCCUACGGGAGGCAGCAGUGGGGAAUUUUGGGCAAUGGGCGAAAGCCUGACCCAGCAACGCCGCGUGGGUGAUGAAGGCCUUCGGGUCGUAAAGCCCUGUCGGAAGGAAAGAAUUCUUCUGGGGUAAAUAAUCCCAGAAAAUGACGGUACCUUCCAAGGAAGCCCCGGCUAACUCCGUGCCAGCAGCCGCGGUAAUA